GCGUUGUCCGGAAUUAUUGGGCGUAAAGAGCUCGUAGGCGGUUUGUCGCGUCUGCUGUGAAAUUCCAGGGCUUAACCCUGGACCUGCAGUGGGUACGGGCAGACUAGAGUGCGGUAGGGGAGAUCGGAAUUCCUGGUGUAGCGGUGAAAUGCGCAGAUAUCAGGAGGAACACCGGUGGCGAAGGCGGAUCUCUGGGCCGUAACUGACGCUGAGGAGCGAAAGCAUG
rnacentral:rRNA from 1 species